rnacentral:ncRNA from 1 species
CUAUGACAAAUUUUGUCAUGGCGGAAGGAG